rnacentral:misc_RNA from 1 species
GAAAUGCGAUAAGUAAUGUGAAUUGCAGAAUUCAGUGAAUCAUCGAAUCUUUGAACGCAUCUUGCGCUCCUUGGUAUUCCUUGGAGCAUGCCUGUUUGAGUAUCAUGAAAUCUUCAAAGUAAAUCUUUUGUUAACUCAAUUGGUUUCUACUUUGGUAUUGGAGGUCUUUGCAACUUCACACCUGCUCCUCUUUGUUCAUUAGCUGGAUCUCAGUGUUAUGCUUGGUUCCACUCGGCGUGAUAAGUUAUCUAUCGCUGAGGACACUGUAAAAGGUGGCCAAGGUAAAUGCAGAUGAACCGCUUCUAAUAGUCCAUUGACUUGGACAAUACUUUUAUGAUCUGAUCUCAAAUCAGGUAGGACUACCCGCUGAACUUAAGC